rnacentral:piRNA from 1 species
UCCAUUUGGUACCAAGAAGCAGCGGCC